rnacentral:lncRNA from 1 species
CUGGCUCUCAGAUUGCCUGAGAUCGUUUCCUCCCCCUUCUUGGUAUUUGCAAAUAAAGUAUUUACAGUUGAAUUCGGGUGGCAGCCUGUGUUGCGUCGGGGUGUUUCGGAGGAUGCUGUGGGUCAGCAUGGCCCUGUGCUGCUGCAGGAAGAUGGGACACUGCCACCGCAGCCCCAGAAACCGAGGGGGUCACUGCAAGGCUGUCAGCCACAGCUUGUUACCUGAGCGACGGGCAGGAACAAGGACUGAAAUCAGAGAGCUACACAGAAAAUCUCACUGCGUUCAGAACUGUGGUCUGUCCUGCAUGCUAACUGCUGUCAAUUACUUAUUUUUCGCAUCCUGGGCAUUGACAUCAGCUGACGAGAUGCUUUGAGAUCUAACCUGAACCAUCCCAAACGUGUUCCCCUGCCAUCUGCCCAGAGAGCAGGGAACACCAGUCCAGGAGUCAACCUUGGGGGGGUUCAAGAGCAUCCGUAUGCUUGCAUCCGUGGACCACUGUAUCUAGAAACUUUCCCUGCUGGCAGACACACGUCCCUGCUUGGCUCACACACCUGGCACUUCUCCACCCGUCCCCUUCAGCAAAGGUGUUUGAGUUGCUCACGGUGGUACAGCCUUGGUGACAUCGCUGCCAGCUCUGCGACAAGAAGACAGCACUCUGGUGUCCUCCGUCAUGUCAUCCCUAUGGAGCCCAGGGACAAAACUUCAUGAGUCUGGCCAGGAGAAGCAGGAGAGAGCUGAUAACCCCAUCCCUUCCACGUCUUGGGCUUACGGUAACCUCGGAUGCCACGGGGCAAAUUCCGCAGUGCUGCUUAAGGUGCCAUAAUUUAGAGCCUCUCAGCUUUGCUAAGGCUCCCUGAGUACCACGUGCCCCCUGUCUGCUGAUGCAUAAAGUAACCUGAAUCAGUGUAAUUUAUGCACCAAUGAAAAGGUGCAAGCUAAAAUACCUCCCAGCCUAAAAUAGCCUCUAAGUGAGAAGAGGGAGAGGAAGGGGCAUCUUAGCUUUAUGCCCCAUAGAGCACCAGCUCUGAAUUUGGCCCUGGGCCUCAAAGCUUUUAAAAACAGAGUAAUUUUGAUUUGGAGGAGGUCACACGUGCUCUUGUGCACAUCUCCCCUGCUUUAUUUGAGUCCUGGCCCACGCGAGGAGAGCAAGAGCAAGCUGAGGGCUGGCAGAGCUGCAUGCUGGUGCUUGGCAAGCUGAUUUUCCACCUCUUGUUGCUACCCUGCCUGUGUGCAUCUCUGCAAAGCAGAGAUAGAGCAGGGCCAUUCCCCUUGGUAGCAACAAAGCAGCAGCCCCUCCACACGUCAGCAGCUCAGCACGUUCCAUAUGACCGUCUUUUAUCACAUUGGUGCUCCCUUUAAGCACAGGACAAGUUGUUUUCCAUCCGUGCAGCCGUCUCAGGACCACAUGGAUUUACUGCUAUCAAUGCUUUGUGCUGACCCGAAUAUUUCCAAAAUUUAUGUCACCCUGCCCAGUGCACACUUAGUGCUUAAUUGUCACCGCAGGCACUGCUAAUAUCCAUACCCUGUGACCUGUCUGCAACCCAGGCCAGUCAGUGCUGCUGUGACGUGUGCUGGCAAUGGUGAGCGUCACGGCUGAUGCCUGGCUGUGACAUUAUGUGCCUGUGACAUGUGCAUCAACCUCGGGGUAAGUGAGCUGAUGUAGAAAGCAAUGAAUAAACGUCCUCAGGUUUGAGGAGGGGAUGCUG